rnacentral:rRNA from 1 species
UACGGUAGGUGCGAGCGUUGUCCGGAAUUAUUGGGCGUAAAGAGCUUGUAGGCGGUUUGUCGCGUCUGCUGUGAAAAUCCGGGGCUCAACCCCGGACUUGCAGUGGGUACGGGCAGACUAGAGUGUGGUAGGGGAGACUGGAAUUCCUGGUGUAGCGGUGAAAUGCGCAGAUAUCAGGAGGAACACCGAUGGCGAAGGCAGGUCUCUGGGCCAUAACUGACGCUGAGAAGCGAAAGCAUGGGGAGCGAACAGG